GGUGAGACAGCUGAUAUAGGCUGCCUGGAGGGAUUUUGAACUCCGAAUGUCAGUGUGGCUAUUUUCUAUUGUCGGCACCCACUGACUUUUUUCUGCAAGUCUCCAGCAUACAGGAACAUCAAAGGUCCAAGGUAUCUUUUGGAAGAGACCUCUGAGAUCUAAAGUAGGGGAUCCAGGCAUAGUGAGAAGGGACAGUAUCUCCCCCUACUGAUGUUGAAACAUCAAGGGAAGAACAAAACUCAUGGGCAAGUAAGAGGGCACAGCACAGCCAUGUUGCUUGUUAUUUUCUCAAAUGGAAUAACACAUAACUUAUUUAACAGGAAACAAAGAACAUGUAUAGGAAAUAUAUAAAGAAUAUAUUGCUGUCCCUACAAAUGCUCUAUUAAUAAGCCAGUAACUUAAUUUCAUACUCAUUCCACUCCCUGCCUUGGAUAGAAAAUAGGAUGCAAUUAGGAAGAAAUAAAUGAAAUUGCCAUACGUAAGCUCUUCUGAAAAUCAUGCCUCUGUCAGUUGUGGAUGUUGGUGGAAUGGCAGUAGAGUCUGAACCUUCACACCAGUACUUCAUUACAUUUUGUUGUCCCAUGACAAAUGGCAGCAGAGAGGCAGUCUGACAAAAUGGAGUUUUAUAUGGAAGUGCAGAUGAAGCAAAGGUGUGUCACUGAAUUCCUCCAUGUGGAAAAAAAUGGUAUCCAUUGAUAUUCAUUGAUGCUUGCUGAAAGUUUAUGGAUGAAUUGUUAAUGAGAGCACAGUGAGGUGGCGGGUGGUGAGUUUCAGCAGUGACAAAAGUGACAGUGUGUCACAUCUGCUGAUGAAGAUAGUUAUGAGCACGGCAUGCAGGCUCUUGUUCAUGUCUGGCAAAAAUGCAUAGCUAACUGUGGUGACUAUCUUGAAAAACAGUGUUUUGUAGCUGAGAAUUUGCUCUAUUGAAUACUGUUAUUGUGCUCUUGUAUCUGUUGUAGUUUUCAUGGAAAUAGACAGAAAGCAGUACUUUUGGAGUUACCUUCGUAGAUGUGAAGAAAAAGAAGGGAAGAAGGUUCUGUCUCUGGGAGGAAGAAGAGAUAAAAACUAUGAGAAAUGCCACUUUACUCAUCUCUGCUCUUCAUCUGGUGACCUCAGAUGAUGUGGGAAGGGUUGAAUACAUGGAGUUGCAUGGAGGCUGAAGGCAAGACUCACGCUGAAGACACAGAAGACAUCCAGAGAGGAGGAAUAGCAGUAUUCUUCAUGGCCUCUCACCCACUUUACAGGAUUGUCCUUAAAUGACUCACUCAAGUUCAAAUUUCAUCAUGAAAAAAAGUUAACAUAUGCAUUACGUGUAAAAAUGUAUUAACAGUUAACUUAAAUUCUGCAGUUAUUGAAGAUAAUGUUUAGAAAGGCUAAUAGGUGAUGGUAAAGGCAGUAGUACUAAAAUGAAUAUGCAAACCUUAUUGAUUGGUUGUUCUGUACUUGUGAGUUGUAGUUAUAUGUAGAUAUUUGGCAUAUCAAUACACAGAGGGCUUCUUGCUGAGAACAGAUAAUUACAGGCCACAUGCUGUGCUCUGCAGUAUGAAGAGUAGGGUUUUUUUUUGCAUCUGAGAUUACAUCUCCUGCUUCAUGAUUUGCCCACAAUUGCCCAUUUUCACAAAAAACAAUAGUAAAAGCAACAAAUUCACAGAAGAACAGCUUUUUCUUGUCACUUCCAUAAUGUUUCUUGUUUCUUUGAUUGGCC
rnacentral:lncRNA from 1 species